AAAGGCAGAGGCAGAGAGUGGGUAGUUUUGGCGUAUGUUGAGCACUGAAAAUGCCUGGAAUUGCCAAACUGAGCUUUUGUAUGAGCAGCGUAAGGGCUACUCGGUGCACGCAGAGCCGCGGGGCUGCACGGAAUAGCCGGACGGAAAGUGAUUCUGCAUUUCCUUCAGUAGCCUGGAUGUCUUGGCGUUAGUAGCCACGUCACUUUGUUCGUGGACACUCUGAGGAGCAGAUCCCUGCCCUGUGGCACGGGGGGGAUCAGGCUCUGAUAAGGUGCUGGAAUGAUCGUCCUGCUGUUCCUUGAGUGGCUUUCCAGACAUGUGGAGAGAAGCAGACACUUGCAGAGCGGAGCUGGGAAGGAGAGCAGAAAGAGGUGAAAAAUGGCUUUCCUUGCACAGAAAGGACCUGUGGAGCAGCCAAUGCCUGGAUAAGGCUCAUCCUAGUGCCUGGAUAAGGAUGAUCUUAGUGCCUGGAUAAAAAUCAUCUCAGUGCAUGGAUAAGAAUCAUCUCAUAGCCUGGAUAAGGAUCAUCCUAUAGCCUGGAUAAAGAUCAUCCCAGUGCCUGGAUAAGAAUCAUCUCAGUGCAUGGAUAAAAAUCAUCUCAGUGUCUGGAUAAGGAUCAUCUCAUAGCCUGGAUAAGGAUCAUCUCAUAGCCUGGAUAAAGAUCAUCUCAGUGCCUUAGGCUGCCAUGGUCCCAAGCUGUCCUUGAGGCUGAGGUAGUAGAUUGAAUAGUUGUGGAGUCUGGUCCUCCCUCUGAGCUAACUAUACAAUCUACUGUCUUUCCUAAGGAGACAGUCAGGUCUUCAGCUCUGCUCGUCCAUUUCUACACCAGCUGUGGGGCAGGUGGUGCCAGGAAAGCAAAUCCGUGCUGUGACCCGUCUGUUCUGCUCUGUGGAGGUGAGGUAGUAGGUUGUAUAGUUUGGUGGGAGGGAUUUGAUCCCAUUUCAGGUGAUAACUAUACAGUCUAUUGCCUUCCUUAAAGAGCAGCAAAACCACGGAGGAGCUCCCGAGGCAUCGCUUCUUUUGUUGAGGAUCCAAAAAAGCAGCAUGGCAUUGUUAAACAGCUCAGUGGGUGUUUCUCUUACAGCAUCCAGAACUGCAUUCUUCCAGGAAUUGCUUCAUGCCUCAGGCACUGGAGCAUGGAGCCACCUGCUUCCAGGGAACCCACCUCUCUAAGAUUCCAGAGAACCAGGGAAAUGAGUCUGCACAGCAGCUCAGUGUUCAAUUCUAUUCUUUUUUUUUUUUUUUUUUCAGGAGAUGGAUUCAAGUUGUAAGGUGUUUAAAUGUGUUGAUCUUUUCAGGUCUGGAGGGGAGCAGAUACUUUUGUUUAAAUGGGACAGAUGUGAGUUAAUUAUUUCAUGGUUUUGUGCCCAGUUCUGAAGUUUGGGUUCAGAAGCAGACCCAGGGCCAAGCUCAGCCUGUGGACUCAGAGCCCUGGGAGCUGAUCAGAUUUGGCUGCUUGGCCCCUGCUCAGGAAGUGCAUUUGGUUUUGGACCAGUUCCCAGCCUGUCCCAUGGAACAGAGUCAGAGGGUUCUUUCUGCUCUGAUAAUCCCUUAUCAACUGAACUCCCCCACAUGCAAACCCCGUCAGGGAAUUUUGGGGCUCUUGGGUGUUUACAUAAGGUGAACCAAUGAUUCCAACUAAAAUCUUGUCCUGAAGUGGAGACAGGUAAGGAAGAGACAUGAGGCAGAAGGAGCAGGUUCUAAUCCUCCUGGGCUCUCCCUGACAACAGACAUGAGAGAAGUCAUCAUCGCUCAGAGCUCUGGCCCUUGGCAAGGGACAGGGAACUGUUAAUUCUUCUGUUUCUUAGGAGCAGAUGGGACGAUCCCUCUGCCGUUUUCCAGAGUGAGUAGGAUCAGGAGCAGGAGUGGAGCUGUAACCCGAUCAGGGCUGCACCGGGAAGGACAUUUCAGGCCAUUAUCACGAGCAUCUCAGUGCCAGGGAGACUGUGAGACCCGAGACUGGGGAGCGAGGGCAAGCAGAGGACACCUUCUCAGAUGAAAUGGGAGGGAGAGAGCACAGAGAAAUUGGAGCCCUCCCAUUUCAGAGGCUCAGGGAGAGCCAGAGCUGGCUGCUGGAGUCCCCAGGAUGAAGCAGAAUUUCAGGCCCCUCUGCUGGGACAGGGCGGAGCUGCAGCUGCUGGGUGGGGAUGCUGCAGCUCCGAGCAGAGAAGGAAUGCAGCCCUCUCUCCAUAAAUCUGGCUUUUCAGCAGUCCUGGCGACUUGCUGAGCAAAACUACAGCUUGGUGCUCUGAGCUGCAUUAUUAUCCUCCAGCUGCUUGCUCAGGGGCAGGGCUCCUGCCCACAGAUUGCCUGGAAGGUUCCAAAAUAGCAGCACAAGGAUGGGAACAGGGCAGCAAAUCCACUUCAUCUGGAGAGGUGUCCCCUGGAAAACAGCUAAUCCCACAUGUCCCAGAUGGAUUCUGUUCCGUCCCCCUCCAUGGCAUUGAUACUAAUGCAGAGAAUCUCAAACAGUGGAACUGUGUGAGCUGGAAGCCAUGAAUAAAAUAUUACUGGAGAUAUUCCCUCGUGAAAAUAAACUUGGUUUGACUUUUUUAAAA